GAGGGAAGAAAGAAGGAAGGAGGGAGGAAAGGAGGGAGGGAGGAGGGAGGGAGGGAGGGAGUCUGAAGCUGUCUGUUCCUAGCUGCCUUCCUCAAUGACUAAUGAUGGUAGAAUUCAAAACUCUGCCUUGAAGCAUGCAUCACAGAACUCAGGGGUGGUUGACAAACAACACUCAACUGAAUGGCAGGCGAUGUGAGUCCAUGGAAAGACGAAGCUCCGCAAUCAGACAAAUCUGCUCUGCAGUCCCACGGCGACGAGAUGUGAGCACAGCAGACUUGGCUGUGUGGAGGGAGAGUUUCUAAGGGGUUACAGUUUCCAAUACUGUCUUCUCCCUUAGUUUUCUAUCACACAUCCAUUAAAAAAUUGGGGGGAAAAAGUGUCUAUUUAAACUGUUAAUUGCAUCAUGUAAAGACAGUUGACGACAUCAAAACAAAAUUUGCAAGACUUCCUUGGGAUGGCUUGACUUCAAAGACAAAACCGCAGCCAGCUCUUCCUCAGAGCAAAACAAAGCAACAGUAGCAACAGUAAUGAUGGUGACAAGGUUCUCACUGUGUGAGGAGGGGACUUGGAAGACAAGAGAGGGCAGCAUCCCAGAGCCUGACCUCAGAGGCCAGCCUUGUGCAUCCCAUCAGCAUGUGCCUGAUGAGGCUGGACAGAGGCCGUGGGGAAGCAGGAGAGAAGGGAGGCGGAGACAGGGGCCAAGGCAGAUGCUGAUGGCUUGGGUACCACCCGUCCUGACACACUGCAGAAGAGACCUGGCCAGGGUGGCCGAGCUGGUGCGGCAGCAGAAGAGGCUCAUCCGUGUCCACUCAGCAGCGUGGGGGCCUCCUUCAGGCUUCGAAGCUGGUGAAGCUAACGCAGCUUACAAAUGACAACCAUGGUGAUGCAGUCAAAUAACAACACGAUGGCAGUAAAACCGCAACUGCUCUCUUUCAAAACACAAAACCCCCAAAGACGCCCUGGUCCUCAUAUCUUGAACGGCUGUAAAAGGCUUCUCUCCCAACCCUCUGUCAUCUUUCUGAGCUGCCUGUUCCCUCCAAAUGAGUCAUCCCUGUAGGAAUGUUAAUGUAUUUGACAUGUGUCAACAUCACCCUGAAGAAAAGAGACGCUGGAUGGUUUUGCUGGCGCACACAGCACGAAGAACCGACGGCGCACGUGUUGGUUUCGGCCUGACACUCACACGGCAUCUUCGAAUCUCGCUGCUCGUGGAGCCUGACGCCAGUCCGGUGAGGAAGUCUUGCUCGCCACCUCUGUUCCUGCCACUCUUCUUUUUAGUGAAAAAGGUGCUCUUGAGAGGGUUGGCCUGCCUUCUUUUUUGAAUCAGAAAUUUGCACAGAGACUGCAGUACAUGCAGAUACUGGCAGUGAUGAAAGCGAAGGAUGCAGAAUAACGUGCAGAACUGGGAGCACAGAGAUGACACACAGAAAUGUCUGAAAAUGUACGUGUUGACACUGUGGCUUUCAGGUUUUUCUGCUUGCUCCUCUGUGACAAGGAUAAAAAUGACAUAGACUGA